UACGGGAGGCAGCAGUCGGGAAUUUUGCGCAAUGGACGAAAGUCUGAAGCAGCAACGCCGCGUGAGGGAUGAAGGCCUUCGGGUUGUAAACCUCUUUUAUCAGGGAAGAUAAUGACGGUACCUGAUGAAUAAGCCACGGCUAACUAC
rnacentral:rRNA from 1 species